AUUGAACGCUGGCGGCAUGCCUUACACAUGCAAGUCGAACGGCAGCACGGAAGCAAUCCUGGUGGCGAGUGGCGAACGGGUGAGUAAUAUAUCGGAACGUGCCCAGUAGUGGGCGAUAACUGCUCGAAAGAGCAGCUAAUACCGCAUACGACCUGGGGGUGAAAGGGGGGGAUCGCAAGACCUCUCGCUAUUGGAGCGGCCGAUAUCAGAUUAGCUAGUUGGUGGGGUAAAGGCCUACCAAGGCAACGAUCUGUAGUUGGUCUGAGAGGACGACCAGCCACACUGGGACGGGGAAACGGCCCAGACUCCUACGGGAGGCAGCAGUGGGGAAUUUUGGACAAUGGGCGCAAGCCUGAUCCAGCAAUGCCGCGUGCAGGAAGAAGGCCUUCGGGUUGUAAACUGCUUUUGUCAGGGAAGAAAUCCUCUAGGUUAAUACCCUUGGGGGGAUGACGGUACCUGAAGAAUAAGCACCGGCUAACUACGUGCCAGCCGCCGCCGUAACAC
rnacentral:rRNA from 1 species